CAUGUACUCCCUCCGUUCGGAAUUACUUGUCUCGGAAAUGGAUGUAUCUAGAACUAAAAUACAUCUACAUACAUCCAUUUCUGCGACAAGUAAUUCCGAACAGAGGGAGUAGUUG
rnacentral:pre_miRNA from 1 species